GAUGAACGCUAGCGGCAGGCCUAAUACAUGCAAGUUGAGCGGCAGUUGGUUUAGCAAUAGACUGAUGAGAGCGGCGCACGGGUGCGUAACGCGUAUGCAACCUACCUUUUACUGGGGGAUAGCCCGGAGAAAUCUGGAUUAAUACCCCAUGGUACAUAUUGAUGGCAUCAGAGAUAUGUUAAAGAUUUAUCGGUAAGAGAUGGGAAUGCUUCUGAUUAGCUAGUUGGCGGGGUAACGGCCCACCAAGGCGACGAUCAGUAGGGGUUCUGAGAGGAAGGUCCCCCACACUGGCACUGAGAUACGGGCCAGACUCCUACGGGAGGCAGCAGUAGGGAAUAUUGGGCAAUGGUCGGAAGACUGACCCAGCCAUGCCGCGUGCAGGAAGAAGGCCCUCUGGGUUGUAAACUGCUUUUAUCUGGGAAGAAAAAGGCCAUGCGUGGCAAAUUGCCGGUACCAGAUGAAUAAGCACCGGCUAACUCCGUGCCAGCAGCCGCCGUAACAC
rnacentral:rRNA from 1 species